UUAGUUUGACAAGUUUCUUCGACUUGUAAUAUAACUUUUUGAACGUUUCGUCCGAAUGGACCAGUCAAACCUCUGACCCACAGAAAUUGUGAUGCAGUGAGUUAUAAUCUUGGGAGUCGGAGUGACCAGCCAGUAACCAGUAUGCAGUACAUGGAUACAGCCAACUGUGCUUCCUCAGAUCCCUGACCAUUAAGGAAAGAGCAGAAAGACACAGCAGUGAAAUCAACACAAACUACUACAUCAACAAUCACCU